GGUGUGUGUGCUGCAGCUGGUGUUGUGAAUCAGGCCGAUGUCACACGUCCGCGAUAACCCGGCUAUUUCACAACACCAGGGUGGCACCACACC
ensembl:miRNA MIR138-2 microRNA 138-2